ACAGGCUUAACACAUGCAAGUCGAGGGGCAGCAUUUUAGUUUGCUUGCAAACUGAAGAUGGCGACCGGCGCACGGGUGAGUAACACGUAUCCAACCUGCCGAUAACUCCGGAAUAGCCUUUCGAAAGAAAGAUUAAUACCGGAUAGCAUACGAAUAUCGCAUGAUAUUUUUAUUAAAGAAUUUCGGUUAUCGAUGGGGAUGCGUUCCAUUAGUUUGUUGGCGGGGUAACGGCCCACCAAGACAACGAUGGAUAGGGGUUCUGAGAGGAAGGUCCCCCACAUUGGAACUGAGACACGGUCCAAACUCCUACGGGAGGCAGCAGUGAGGAAUAUUGGUCAAUGGGCGAGAGCCUGAACCAGCCAAGUAGCGUGAAGGAUGAAGGCUCUAUGGGUCGUAAACUUCUUUUAUAUGGGAAUAAAGUUUUCCACGCGUGGAAUUUUGUAUGUACCAUAUGAAUAAGGAUCGGCUAACUCCGUGCCAGCAGCCGCGGUAAUACGGAGGAUCCGAGCGUUAUCCGGAUUUAUUGGGUUUAAAGGGAGCGUAGGUGGAUUGUUAAGUCAGUUGUGAAAGUUUGCGGCUCAACCGUAAAAUUGCAGUUGAAACUGGCAGUCUUGAGUACAGUAGAGGUGGGCGGAAUUCGUGGUGUAGCGGUGAAAUGCUUAGAUAUCACGAAGAACUCCGAUUGCGAAGGCAGCUCACUAGACUGUCACUGACACUGAUGCUCGAAAGUGUGGGUAUCAAACAGGAUUAGAUACCCUGGUAGUCCACACAGUAAACGAUGAAUACUCGCUGUUUGCGAUAUACAGUAAGCGGCCAAGCGAAAGCAUUAAGUAUUCCACCUGGGGAGUACGCCGGCAACGGUGAAACUCAAAGGAAUUGACGGGGGCCCGCACAAGCGGAGGAACAUGUGGUUUAAUUCGAUGAUACGCGAGGAACCUUACCCGGGCUUAAAUUGCAACAGAAUAUAUUGGAAACAGUAUAGCCGUAAGGCUGUUGUGAAGGUGCUGCAUGGUUGUCGUCAGCUCGUGCCGUGAGGUGUCGGCUUAAGUGCCAUAACGAGCGCAACCCUUAUCUUUAGUUACUAACAGGUGAUGCUGAGGACUCUAGAGAGACUGCCGUCGUAAGAUGUGAGGAAGGUGGGGAUGACGUCAAAUCAGCACGGCCCUUACGUCCGGGGCUACACACGUGUUACAAUGGGGGGUACAGAAGGCGGCUACCUGGUGACAGGAUGCUAAUCCCAAAAACCUCUCUCAGUUCGGAUCGAAGUCUGCAACCCGACUUCGUGAAGCUGGAUUCGCUAGUAAUCGCGCAUCAGCCAUGGCGCGGUGAAUACGUUCCCGGGCCUUGUACACACCGCCCGUCAAGCCAUGAAAGCCGGGGGUACCUGAAGUACGUAACCGCAAGGAGCGUCCUAGGGUAAAACUGGUAAUUGGGGCUAAGUCAUA
rnacentral:rRNA from 1 species